UACGAAGGAUGCAAGCGUUAUCCGGAUUCACUGGGCUUAAAGGGUGUGUAGGCGGGCUGUUAAGUCUGUGGUGAAAUCUCCGGGCUCAACCCGGAAACUGCCAUUGAUACUAUCAGUCUUGAAUCUUGUCGAGGUAGGCGGAAUAUAUCAUGUAGCGGUGAAAUGCUUAGAUAUGAUAUAGAACACCGAUUGCGUAGGCAGCUUACUAAACAAGCAUUGACGCUGAGGCACGAAAGCGUGGGGAUCAAACAGG
rnacentral:rRNA from 1 species